rnacentral:rRNA from 1 species
CAAUAGCGUAUAUUUAAGUUGUUGCAGUUAAAAAGCUCGUAGUUGGAUUUCGGGUGGGAAUGGCCGGUCCUCCGUUUCGGUGUGCACUUGCUACGCCCACCUUGCUGCCGGGGACGUGCUCUUGAGUUCACGCUCGGGACACGGAGUCGGCGAGGUUACUUUGAGUAAAUUAGAGUGUUCAAAGCAGGCCUACGCUCUGAAUACAUUAGCAUGGAAUAACACGAUAGGACUCUGGCCUAUCUUGUUGGUCUGUAGGACCGGAGUAAUGAUUAAGAGGGACAGUCGGGGGCAUUCGUAUUUCAUUGUCAGAGGUGAAAUUCUUGGAUUUAUGAAAGACGAACUACUGCGAAAGCAUUUGCCAAGGAUGUUUUCAUUAA